rnacentral:rRNA from 1 species
GAUGAACGCUGGCGGCGUGCCUAAUACAUGCAAGUCGAGCGAACAGAUGAGGAGCUUGCUCCUCUGACGUUAGCGGCGGACGGGUGAGUAACACGUGGAUAACCUACCUAUAAGACUGGGAUAACUUCGGGAAACCGGAGCUAAUACCGGAUAAUAUAUUGAACCGCAUGGUUCAAUAGUGAAAGACGGUUUUGCUGUCACUUAUAGAUGGAUCCGCGCCGCAUUAGCUAGUUGGUAAGGUAACGGCUUACCAAGGCAACGAUGCGUAGCCGACCUGAGAGAGGGAUCGGCCACACUGGAACUGAGACACGGUCCAGACUCCUACGGGAGGCAGCAGUAGGGAAUCUUCCGCAAUGGGCGAAAGCCUGACGGAGCAACGCCGCGUGAGUGAUGAAGGUCUUCGGAUCGUAAAACUCUGUUAUUAGGGAAGAACAAAUGUGUAAGUAACUAUGCACGUCUUGACGGUACCUAAUCAGAAAGCCACGGCUAACUACGUG